rnacentral:rRNA from 1 species
UGCGUAGGCGGGCUAAUAAGUCAGUGGUGAAAUCUCUCGGCUCAACCGGGAAACUGCCAUUGAUACUGUUAGUCUUGAGUUCGGUUGAGGUAGGCGGAAUGUGUAAUGUAGCGGUGAAAUGCUUAGAUAUUACACAGAACACCAAUUGCGUAGGCAGCUUACCAGACCGACACUGACGCUGAGGCACGAAAGCGUGGGGAGCGAACAGGAUUAGAUACCCUGGUAGUC